rnacentral:rRNA from 1 species
UACGUAGGGUGCGAGCGUUGUCCGGAAUUAUUGGGCGUAAAGAGCUCGUAGGCGGUCUGUCGCGUCUGCUGUGAAAACCUGGGGCUUAACCCCGGGUCUGCAGUGGAUACGGGCAGGCUAGAGUUCGGCAGGGGAGACUGGAAUUCCUGGUGUAGCGGUGAAAUGCGCAGAUAUCAGGAGGAACACCGGUGGCGAAGGCGGGUCUCUGGGCCGAUACUGACGCUGAGGAGCGAAAGCGUGGGGAGCGAACAGG